rnacentral:misc_RNA from 1 species
UACAGAGGGUUCUAUCGUUAAUCGGAUGGACUGUUCGUAAAGCGUGCGUAGGCGGCUUUUUAAGUCGGAUGUGAAAUCCCCGAGCUUAACUUGGGAAUUGCAUUCGAUACUGGGAAGCUAGAGUAUGGGAGAGGAUGGUAGAAUUCCAGGUGUAGCGGUGAAAUGCGUAGAGAUCUGGAGGAAUACCGAUGGCGAAGGCAGCCAUCUGGCCUAAUACUGACGCUGAGGUCCGAAAGCAUGGGGAGCAAACAGG